AUUGUAUAAGCAGCUAAAAUUUACACUACAGCCUUCUGAUCUGAAGACGAGAGUAGAAUCUUUAAUUGACAGAGACUACAUGGAAAGAGAUAAAGAAAAUCCAAACGAGUACAAGUAUAUUGCAUGAACUUCUGGCCUUACUAUUUCUACUUAUAGUAGUUGACUCAUAGUCGUGUUAAUUGAUUCAAAUAUUCCACUGACACAUGAAUAAAAGCGGUGCAUUAAAAUACAAAUGCAGAAUUAAAUUUUCAUCAGCAUUCUCAGUUAACGUAUGCCGUUAUCUGAAUGACAUGUAUUUUUAAUGUUGCUAUUAAACUAUACGUAAUGAUCUAAAACUCCCUGGAAAAUUUCGUAAUGUUUCGUAUACUGUCUGUCCUUCAUUUCAGUGUAUAUUGAUGACAUGUAGUAUGCAUUAGUUUAAUAAAGAAUAAGUUUCAUAAAAAGCAACAUAUAUCCGUAACUGUUUAAGUGUAAACUCGCACUGUGAAUUAUACAUCUGGAUGAUUUAAACUCUAUUUGAAAUUAAGUAUUAAAGCCAUUUAUUUGUCCUUA